CAGUAAACAACCAUCAACUUAAUUUCCUCGAAAAUUCUUUCUUUCAUCUAUAAAUACAAAGCCAUCUGUUUGUUAUGUGAUUUCUGAGUGCAAUUAAUUGAUCAAGAUGAGCAAUGCUGACUCAAAUCCUGCUCAAGGUAAGUAAUUAUCAAGGUCCCCCUGUAAUGGCAGUGGCACCACCAGAAUAUCCUGCUGCUCCACAUCAACAACCAGCCAAAGCACAACCACUAAUAUUCGAAAUUCUUUUUGCUGAUGGUUGUCUUGAUGCGUGUUGUUGCUGCUGCAGCCUCAUUUGUUGAUCUUACCACCACAAGUACUAGUUAGUGGAUUUACUAAUAACAUUUUUAUGCGCUAAGUUCUCUAGCUUGUAUUAUCAACUGUAAUAGGGUUUGAUAAGUCUUAAAGCAUUACUUCUUCAAGAUCUCUCAUCUUUGGGUUGUAAUCAAUGUGUAUUAUCUUAAUUAAGUGAAGCAAAAGUAUUAUGAUAAUGGGAA